ACGGAGGGUGCAAGCGUUAUCCGGAAUCACUGGGUUUAAAGGGUGCGUAGGCGGCGUCAUAAGUCAGAUGUGAAAGCUCCCAGCUUAACUGGGAAAUUGCAUUUGAUACUGUGAUGCUUGAAUCACGUUGAGGUUAGCGGAAUGUGACAUGUAGCGGUGAAAUGCAUAGAUAUGUCAUAGAACACCAAUUGCGUAGGCAGCUAACUAGGCGUGUAUUGACGCUGAGGCACGAAAGCGUGGGGAGCGAACAGG
rnacentral:rRNA from 1 species